UGUGAAAAGUUACAUUACCCUGUCGGUAAAUACCUAAUGGAUCACCGUGGAAGAAACGUAAAAGCCAGGAGGGAGAGAAAAGGGUGGGGGAAAGGACAAGCGAUGAGCAGAAGAAACCCCUGGCUGACAGGAGAAGGACAGCUAGAUAGCUGGCGCUGGUACAUGGUUCUCAGAUGCUGGGGAUAUGUCCAAGUGCUUCUUUCAGCGAAGCUCAACUGAAAAAGUUCUUCACCUCUGUGCCUGGAGUUGGAGCUCAAGGUGGAGUGCAUGGCUGAGGCAAAGAGAGUGUGGGGCUCUGCUGAAGAAAAACUUAUCCAUGGCAGGCUGUCACAGUGACCAGACAAGUUAUAGUCAUGAAAUUUUCUGCAGUGGAUAGUUUGAUGGAUCUGAACUGGAAUGACGUUCAGCACAGAAGAGGCAGAAACAAGUGCAGAAAUCUUGGCAGCACUGCUGUUGGCUGUUUGCUGGUGGCGAGGAUAUGGAGACUAAUCGACAGUGGAGUUCAGGACACGACAAGGAGCAGAGACGUUUUCACCUUCCUGUGUUUCUACUGUUCACCACUAAUGGUUUCAGUAACAUUUCCACCAGCACUCCCAAGAACCCAGCUGCUUUGGUGAUCCCUUACUAGUGAUGUAGGCAUCAGUAACGCAGCCAAGCAGUCAAGAUUUUAAGAAACAAAAUCCAACCAGAAACCUGGAAAACUGGAGACUCAAAGUUAAUUGUUCCCCAUCAUUUCAUGCACCAUUUUCUUUUUUUUUUUUUUUUACACUGGCCAUGCAAAGUUUAUUCAAAUAUGUUCUAUUCUUUGACGGAAAAUUGACAGUGAUGAAAUUCUCAGUCAUGCCAAACACAAACAAAAAAGGUAAAUACAUAGUGGGAAUACAAUGUUAUUAAACCUCUUCUGUUUUCAAGAUUUACUACACUUCAGCAAGCAAAUUCAGCAAAACCAUGUAGAUUAAUUUUUGUCUGUGUUUAGUUUUUGGAUUCUGACCAACCUCUAGCAAUAUAAAAUGAAUCCAAAUAAGAUGCUACUGUGUACUAACUACACAGUUAACUUAAUUCUGUACAAAAUUUCCAGCUAAGUGCUUAAAUCAUAACACAACAACUUAUCAUUCUAUAUGAAGCAAGUAUCAGAGAAGAAAAACUAUUUUUAAACUAGUUGCACUGAUUUCAACACAUUUUAGAGCAGGCCUUAUUUUCAUAAACUUCACAAGUUAAUAUGCUAUUUUUAUGAGAGAUAAUAAUCAGGAUUAUGUGGAAAGAUUUUGGCACAGUAACACAUACAGUAAAACAAUUCUCAAAAUACUAGUCAUUAUUCUCAAUUAUGUUUCCUAUUUGAUUGUUAAAAGCCAAUCUUGUUGACCCAGCAAUAUACACUUGGCUUUGCAGCCACUGUUGCUGCUUAGUAAUGUCUUGGGAAAUCCUAUGCCUUUGAAACUCUAUGCAAAUCAUCUAAAAGGAGCCAAUGUUAACACUCAGGCUGAAUUAGAAAAUAGGAAAAUACACGAAGUAAGUAGUUUAAGGACAAAGUUGUCUCUAGCUAAAAUUAAGCACUGAUUCACAGUGACAUUAUGAAAACACUAAGCUGUACAUUAAAAUUCCUAAACAUUGCUGCUAUUCACAACAGGCCAAUGCAAACAUUCGUUACUUCUGUGUCUGAGAGUGAAUUUGUAAGUUAGGAAAAUGAUGUCAGUAUAAAAGAAUUCAAAACUAAUUUUAUCUGAUUGGCAAGUGAGUUCAAGUACUGAGAUACUAAAUAAAUAUUUGACAGCACCAUUCCAUAGUAUAAUUUAUUUCACAUAUGCACUAAAUUAAAAGGAAAGCUUUUCUAAACUGCAAGCAAUUUCCAGGCAAACCACUAAGCAGGAUGAUGGUGAUGACUGCCAUUGUGUCAUGGUAGAGCACCUUCUUACCCUUGCAAAGGUCACCAGAGUUUUGAGCAAAUAAUCAAAAUCACAAGGCAGAGAACAGUACAGUAGGUCCACUUUUGUCACACUUGUGACAGGGAAUUUAAAUUUAUACCACUGAGCACUUCUGCUCAUGGGGGAAGAGGAAACAAUGCUGAAUGCCUGACCUUGUAUUUGUGUCAGUAGGACUACCACUGUGCAUAAGGAGUUCAGAGCUUUGCCUAGCAGUGGGCAUUGCUGGGAAAAUUCAUUCCAGCAUGAAUGGAGGGGCUGUUGUUAAGAUCCUGUUUAAAUCUAUGAUGUGUCCCAGUGAGUGUGUGGAAAUGUGUUAUUCAUGUAACAACCAGGACUCAGAAGCACAUGAUGGCACAGGGACAGACACAAGAGGUAUGGAAGAACUGGUAGACUUGACGCCCAAACAGACCCGAGGCUCAGAAAUCCUUUCAAAGAGGAGUCUGAGAUACAGUGUGCACCAUUUUUUUUGUUGUUUGCUGAAAUGGAAGUUGCAGAUGCAGUACACUUUUGGGUCCCCACAGUUUUGGAAAGGGCAGGUCUCUUCAGUGGUUCCUACCAAAGCAGAGCUUUUACAAAAAGCUUUGUUACUUAAGACUCAAGCAACGAAGGAAGAAUUUCACAUCAUUACAAGGAUAUAGAGCUGUAUUUUUAAUACUGUAAUUAUGGAGAUGGAAAAUCAAACUGGCUUAGACCUUGCUGAAAUGUUAGGGUCAAAGUUAGAACUGAAAUUCCCUCAAAUUGGAGACAAUUAUGCAGAAAUUUUAUUUAAAGCCCCACAGAGACAAUAAAUAGCUGAAAAGUUCAGCUGGUUUAUAUCCCAGAGGACUUAUCAAGGGAAAGGUUCAUAAAUAAUUAUGAGAAAAUAUAGGUAAUACUUAAGUCAAAUACAAGCCUUACCUAUAUGUAAUACCAUAUGUUUUUAAAGUUCCACAAUGUACAUGCUACUACAAUGUUUUGGAUGUUAAGUGCAAAACAAAAAGCACUCAUUAAUGGUUACACUUACAAAACAAUCACAAAAAAAAAAAAUCUGUGCUUUUUUCCCCAUUACAGAAAAAUGAGGAGAGUUGUAGACAUCUAUUUAUCAAAUAACCCAAAAGAAGCAAAAUGGAAAUGAAAACUCUAUACGGUGAGACUAAAUUCAGAAAGACAUUUUUCCUUUUUUUAUAGUACAUCUUACAUUUCCUGCUUCAUUCUCUUCCAUAACUUAGA